UCCUACGGGGGGCAGCAGUGGGGAAUAUUGCACAAUGGGGGAAACCCUGAUGCAGCAACGCCGCGUGAGUGAAGAAGUAUUUCGGUAUGUAAAGCUCUAUCAGCAGGGAAGAAGAUGACGGUACCUGAUUAAGAAGCCCCGGCUAACUACGUGCCAGCAGCCGCGGUAAUACGUAGGGGGCAAGCGUUAUCCGGAAUUACUGGGUGUAAAGGGAGCGUAGACGGUUAAGUAAGUCUGGAGUGAAAGGCCGGGGCCCAACCCCGGGACUGCUCUGGAAACUAUUGAACUUGAGUGCAGGAGAGGUA
rnacentral:rRNA from 1 species